rnacentral:lncRNA from 1 species
AUGAGUUUGGGAGCGAUCGGUCAAUGAUCAGAGAACAUUGUCUUCUUCAAAUUGGUUUGCUUAGUUUUGUAAAUGGCUUUAAGCUACAUCAAAGCCUUGUAGUGGCCACAACAAAUUAAAUGACAAGAUUUGGUUCAAGACCCCGGGCAAUGCAGGUGGAGGUAAAUCACUAAUAUUAACGAUACACUCAAACAUAGAAAAAAUAAGAAAAUGUACUACUUUAAAAUGGUGAUAGCCUCAAUGGUGCUGCUCAUGCUGUCACUGAUGUUAUAAUGGGACAGAUACAGAGCCGAGAACUCUAUAAAUAGGACAUAGCUUAGCCUGAGUGCCAGUCUGUUUGUGUCACCAUGACAACUCCUUGUCACUCAUAYUCAUGCCAAAAAUAAUUGGCUUGACUAAUAGCAAUGAAGUUGGCAUGAGCACGAACAGAUCUGGGAUCAGGUUAAACGUUUGCUUUGGURAGUGAAACAUUAGCCAAUUCUUCUGUUCAGUGUUUUAGCAUUUCACAUCCCAUAGAGCCGGGUCAUGUUCAUCAGGGAACACCGAAACAAAAUGUUUCGCAGUGGAAAAGGAAAACAAGUUUGUUUUUCGAGAUGGCUCAGCUAGUCCCUAUCAUGUUUACUUCAGUUUGGUGCCUAAUGAAUACGGCCCUGGUCMGAGCUGAAACCAGCUAGCAUCAGGUUAGCUGGAUGUUUCAACCCCACCUUGGUUAGCAAAGUGAAAACCAAACCAUUGUUUUUUUGUUGCUUGAAGGCAGAGAGACAGUUCUUAAGUAGUGUGGACACAAUGUUCUGGAAGGGGAGCAGGUUGGAGGGGUGAGAGAGAGUGUGCGCAACACAGCAGAACAUUUAGCAACAAUUAGGAACGCUCCUGGCUGUGAACACAGCCUCACUGGGGAAUCAUCGUCUUCAAGUUCAGUCUCAGAAACCAGCAGCAGAGGGGAGCCACUGUAGUGAAGGAGGAGAUGUCUAACUGGUCUGCUUGUACUGUGUUCUGCAGUAAGACCCUCCCCAGGGAUAGACUCAAGCUCAUCUCAGGUUUGGGCCAGGACAGACAUAACAGAGGAGGGGUUCAGCUCUAGACCAGGACAUAACAGAGGAGGGGUUCAGCACUGGACCAGGACAGAGCAGAGGAGGGGUUCAGCACAGGACCAGGACAUAACAGAGGGGUUCAGCACUGGACCCAGCUACAGGAGCAGCCUACCAGAUAACAGAGGAGGGUUCAGCGACUGGACCAGUACGAGAGGCCAGACUGAUCAGAAGCUUCAGUCUCACUUCAAAUUUUAAGUCAUUAUGGAUGGAUGUGGAGUUAAGUUCAUUGUUGUAGAACUUACAUUCAAAUCAAGUGCGUCAUCAAUCUACCGUAUGUUUUAUGAGGUGUAGCACUGG